GGCGGCUUGAGGCUGUCAGUGAUGGGCAGGCUGUUCCCUUAGGGGGAGGGGGGGCGCCCAACAGCAGGGACACAACGACGGCAGCUGGGCCUAGCAGCCAGGGGGCGGCCGGCGGGCCCACUCACAUGGGGCAACAGAGGCAGGCCAGGUCUGCAGGGGAGGGGGACUCUGGAUGCCAGGGACAGCGCUGGGAAUCCCCUGCGUAAAGGACGG